rnacentral:lncRNA from 1 species
AAAUGAAUGGCUUAAAAUUUUAUAUAAAAAUAUAUAUAUAUAUAUCAGAACAUAUAACAAAAUUAGAAAGAAAAAAAAACAUAAGUAAUCAUAAAAAAAGUGCAACGAUUAUAAUUUAUAUUAAGUAUAAAAAUUCGAAAAAAAAUUGAAAGUGGAGAACAAUUAUAAUAAAUUGAUGAAAGUAAUAGAGAAAAAAUCACACAUGUGAGAAAUGGUAACACGAAGAAAAAAAAGAAUAAUUUUGAAAUAUUAAAAUAAAAUUAAAGAUAUUUUAGUAAAUAUAAUAAAUUUUUAAAGUUUAAAAUUUAUAU